ensembl:miRNA
UGAGUUCUGCUAGUAGUGAACUUUUGACAAACACGAAUAGUUCAGAACUAGCGGAAUUCCAGA